CAACCCUCACGCGUAGCGUGGUCUUGGGCACUGCCGGCAACGGCUUGCCUUAAAAUCAGUGGCGGUGCCAUCGAGCUCUACGCGUAGUAAUAAACCCCUCGCGUGUGAGUCUCGGCGGUCGCUUGCCAGCAACCCCAAUUUUUUAUGG
rnacentral:misc_RNA from 1 species